rnacentral:rRNA from 1 species
UACGUAGGGUGCGAGCGUUAAUCGGAAUUACUGGGCGUAAAGCGUGCGCAGGCGGCUUUGCAAGACAGAUGUGAAAUCCCCGGGCUCAACCUGGGAAUUGCGCUUGUGACUGCAAAGCUGGAGUGCGGCAGAGGGGGAUGAAAUUCCGCGUGUAGCAGUGAAAUGCGUAGAUAUGCGGAGGAACACCGAUGGCGAAGGCAAUCCCCUGGGCCUGCACUGACGCUCAUGCACGAAAGCGUGGGGAGCAAACAGG